UACGUGGGACCCAAGCGUUAUCCGGAAUUACUGGGCGUAAAGAGUUGCGUAGGUGGCAGAGUAAGUAGGUGAUGAAAGCGUGUGGCUCAACCAUACAUCCAUCAUCUAAACUGCUCAGCUUGAGGAUGAGAGAGGUUAUUGGAAUUUCUAGUGUAGGAGUGAAAUCCGUAGAUAUUAGAAGGAACACCGAUGGCGUAGGCAGAUAACUGGCUCAUUCCUGACACUAAGGCACGAAAGCGUGGGGAGCGAACGGG
rnacentral:rRNA from 1 species